AAGCUGCAUGAGGGCAGAGAUUUAUUUUGCUCCCUGAUAUCUCCAAGCACCUUGGACAGAGACUAACACAAAGAAAGUGUUGGAUAAAUAUUUAUUAUAUGAAUGAAGAUUCUCAUCCACCAACAUUCACAAUUCAAAGAUGUUCAGAAGUUUUUGUGCGUGCUGAAUAUUCACAUUGAUAUUUUUUAAAUCAAGUGACCUCAAUUGUUAUGUAUUUUAAAAUUCCUUCCAAAGGUGAAGAAUCUCAAUGCCAGCUGCAAUGAUACUACCAGUUCACUGAGGAUAUUUCUGCUGUUAGUAAUUCCCCCCUCCACUAGGAUCAUCACUACCUUUAAGGCAGAGCCAAGAGGCUUAUGGUACCAGAGGACCAUGCCUGGAAGAUAGAAAUCUAAGGGUAAGAAAGAAAGGGGAUACAAUGUGAGAGAAGUUUCUACUCUAUAGAAAGGAUGAAGAGGAAGAGAAGGAAGAAGAAAAGGAGAAGGAGGAAAAAGAGUAAAAAACAUGUGGAAUAUAAGUAGUGAAAAGGACUCUAAGGGAAAGGAGGAAAACUGAGUGGGAAAAAAUUAGAGAGGAAUACAAACCAUGAGAGACUCCUAACUCUGGGAAACAAAGGCUUGCAGAAGGGGAGGAGGAUGGGGGAGAUGCGGUAAUGGUGACAGGCACUAGGGAGUGUACUUGAUGAGAUGAGCAAUAAGUGUUAUACUAUAUGUUGGCAAAUUGAACUUAAAUAAAAUAUUUUUUAAAAAGAAAAGAGUAAAAAAGGAGGAGGGGCGAAAAGGAGAAGAAGACGGAAAAGAAGGAAGAAGAAAAGAAGAUGAUGAUGAAGAAGAUGACGACAAUGAAGAAGACAAAGAUGAAGAAGAGGAAGAUGAAGACAAUGAAGGAGGAAGAAGAAGAAGAAGAAGAAGAAGAAGAAGAAGAAGAAGAAGAAGAAGAAGAAGAAGAAGAAGAAGAAGAAGGACGAGGAGGAGGAGGAGGAGGAGGAGGAGAGGAGGAGGAAGGGGAGGACUCUCUCUGCCAGAAGAGCAAGAGAUUUGGAAUGAAUGAGCUCAUCAGGAACUCUGAAAGGAGACAGCCCCACGUGGCUCCCAUCUGGCAACACAGAGUAGCUGCUGCCAAAUAGGAGUGGGACCAUGUCAGAUUUAAGAUGCUGACACAACAAAUUCUGAUUCUAAGUGGCUUGGCCAGAUUCCUACCUACAGAUCAAGCAG
rnacentral:lncRNA from 1 species